rnacentral:rRNA from 1 species
UACGUAGGUGGCAAGCGUUGUCCGGAUUUACUGGGCGUAAAGAGCGCGCAGGCGGUCGUUCAAGUCGCGUGUGAAAGCCCCCGGCUCAACUGGGGAGGGUCACGCGAUACUGAUCGACUCGAAGGCAGGAGAGGGUAGUGGAAUUCCCGGUGUAGUGGUGAAAUGCGUAGAUAUCGGGAGGAACACCAGUGGCGAAGGCGACUACCUGGCCUGUUCUUGACGCUGAGGCGCGAAAGCUAGGGGAGCAACAGG